ACAUGCUUCAGUGAUCUGAGAGUGUUUAUAGUGUGUGAGUUUAACACUUUUCUUCAUUAAAACUGAACAAACAACAACAAGAAUGAAUUUCAUCAGCGUCUGUAUCUGGACACUCGUUCUGUCUGUUCAAGAAAUUACAGGACACAUUUCUGUGACUCAGACUCCAACAGUAACAACUGUUCAACCAGGAGAAUCCAUCACUAUAACCUGUAAAACCAGCAGAGGAAUUGGACGGAUUUCCAGUUCGGAAUGUCCGCAAUGUCUCGCCUGGUAUCAUCAGAAACAUGGAGAUGCUCCUAAACUCCUCGUUUACCACAUUAGAUCACUGCAGUCUGCAACUCCAUCACGAUUCAGGGGCGGUGGAUCUGAUUAUGGAUCUGAUUUCACUCUGACCAUCAGUGGAGUCCAGACUGAAGAUGCAGGACAUUAUUACUGUCUGAGUAGACCCUACAUCAGUAAUAGCUGGUUGUUCACACAGUGA